rnacentral:rRNA from 1 species
UACAGAGGCCUCAAGCGUUGUUCGGAUUCAUUGGGCGUAAAGGGUGCGCAGGCGGUCGGGUAAGUCGGAUGUGAAAUCCUGGGGCUCAACCUCAGAACUGCAUUCGAUACUGCCUGGCUAGAGGAUUGGAGAGGAGAGUGGAAUUCACGGUGUAGCAGUGAAAUGCGUAGAGAUCGUGAGGAAGACCAACGGCGAAGGCAACUACCUGGGCCUUAGCUGACACUGAGGUGCGAAGGUAUGGGGAGCAAAUAGG